rnacentral:rRNA from 1 species
GUGCCAGCAGCUGCGGUAAUACGUAGGUGGCAAGCGUUAUCCGGAAUUAUUGGGCGUAAAGCGCGCGCAGGCGGUUUCUUAAGUCUGAUGUGAAAGCCCACGGCUCAACCGUGGAGGGUCAUUGGAAACUGGGGAACUUGAGUGCAGAAGAGAAAAGCGGAAUUCCACGUGUAGCGGUGAAAUGCGUAGAGAUGUGGAGGAACACCAGUGGCGAAGGCGGCUUUUGGUCUGUAACUGACGCUGAGGCG